UGUCGUCAGCUCGUGUCGUGAGAUGUUGGGUUAAGUCCCGCAACGAGCGCAACCCUUUUCCUUAUUUGCCAGCGGGUAAUGCCGGGAACUUUAAGGAUACUGCCAGUGACAAACUGGAGGAAGGCGGGGACGACGUCAAGUCAUCAUGGCCCUUACGGCCAGGGCUACACACGUGCUACAAUGGUCGGUACAAAGGGUUGCUACCUCGCGAGAGGAUGCUAAUCUCAAAAAGCCGAUCGUAGUCCGGAUCGCAGUCUGCAACUCGACUGCGUGAAGUCGGAAUCGCUAGUAAUCGCGGAUCAGAAUGCCGCGGUGAAUACGUUCCCGGGCCUUGUACACACCGCCCGUCACACCAUGGGAGUUUGUUGCACCAGAAGUAGGUAGUCUAACCGCAAGGAGGACGCUUACCACGGUGUGGCCGAUGACUGGGGUGAAGUCGUAACAAGGUAGCCGUAGGGGAACCUGCGGCUGGAUCACCUCCUUA
rnacentral:rRNA from 1 species